GGAAAAGAAACUAACAAGGAUUCCCCUAGUAACUGCGAGUGAAGCGGGAAAAGCUCAAAUUUAAAAUCUGGUAGUCUUUGGCUGCCCGAGUUGUAAUCUAGAGAAGCAUUAUCCGCGCUGGACCGUGUACAAGUGUCCUGGAAUGGACYAUCAUAGAGGGUGAGAAUCCCGUCUUUGACACGGACUCCCAGGGCUUUGUGAUGUGCUCUCAAAGAGUCGAGUUGUUUGGGAAUGCAGCUCUAAAUGGGUGGUAAAUUCCAUCUAAAGCUAAAUAUUGGCGAGAGACCGAUAGCGAACAAGUACCGUGAGGGAAAGAUGAAAAGAACUUUGGAAAGAGAGUUAAACAGUACGUGAAAUUGCUGAAAGGGAAACGCUUGAAGUCAGUCGCGUUGGCUGGGRAUCAACCUUGCUUCUUGNUUGGCUUACUUCCCAGUUGACGGGUCAGCAUCAGUUUUGACCRGUGGAUAAAGGUUAGGGGAAUGUGGCACCYYCGGGUGUGUUAUAGCCCYUGRUCAUAUACAUUGGUUGGGACUGA
rnacentral:rRNA from 1 species